GUAGGAAUUACAUUUCACUAGGGAACAGCCAGGGUCACCUCCUUGCCUGAGGCCCCACCAUCCCAUCAGCCUGGAUGGGCCUGCUCAGCAGCCACACUCGCCCCUAGGCCGAGAAGGGGUGGGGCUCGGUUCCACAGAGUCUCCCAGGGCCUCAGGCAGGUACUCUAGGCUGAUUCCAUCUCCAGGUUCGCAAGUAAAAAAAAAGUCAACUGCCCAAAAGACUUCUCUUAGAACUCACAGCAGGUUAGGCUGGCAGGUGGAGUCUAUGCUCGGGUGGUCCCAUCUGCCAGGCCUGAUGUUCCAGGUGAAGAGAUUGGUGAGCACCAGGUGACCCCACCCAGGUGCACGUGGCUCUGUCGGGUACAGGCAAGUCUCUGCCCACCAAAGGGACACCACAAGGGCCCAGGCAAAGCAGAGCCUUUCUCACUGGGUGUCUGCUGGUGCUGAUGUCACCAAGGAACACACCCCGGGCAGCUUAAACCACAGACGUUUAUUCUUGCAUAGGGCUGGAGGUCACAAGUCUGAGAUCAAGGUGCUGGACAGCCUGGCUCUUCCUGAGGGUGGCUGGCAGGUCCAGUGCAGGCCUCCCACCUUGGCUGGUGGACAGCCAUCUGCUCCCUGGCUCUCCAUAUCACCUUCCCCUUGUGCCUGUCUCUCUCCAGAUCUCCCCUUCCUGUAAAGACACCAGUCCUACUGGAUCAGGGCCCACCCGUGUGACUUCACUUUUACUUGAGUACCUCUCACAGACCCUAACUCCAAAUCAGGUCACUUGCUGAGGUACUGCAUGUGAAGACUUUGACAUUUGAAUUUUGAGGGGGCCACCGUUUAACCUGAACCACCAAGGACAGAGCCAAAGACCCUGGGUGACAGGCCCAGAACAGGACCUGGUGGAGGCUCUUCUUUAGGGGAGAGAGGGAAAUGGGAGCCACCACUGGCAGAGCCUGAAGGCAGGGCAGCCAGAAAGAAGCUGUGGGAGUCCCCACCAUGGAAGACCCUGCCGAGCAUCCUGUGUCUCCUGAAGCAGACCCUGACAUGAGGACUGGGGGCACGUGUUUAUUAAGGGCGAUCCCCGGAAGGAGGAGAUAACCAGGUAGGGAAGGAGGGAACCCCAGGGCAGGGCUCUAGAGAGAGAGGAUGACCCUCAGGAGCAGGAGGGUGCACCUGAAACCAGACCCAGCAAGAGAUGGAAGCCCUGGGAGCAGCCCCACUCCAGGUCCUCUGCAGGAGUGACCCAGCUGCCACCAGGCUGCCCUGCCCAGCUCAGCAGGCCCUACGGGUGCAGGGAAGCAGAUGGGCAGUGAGAUCUGGGACCGGUAUAGAACCACAGCUGCCACAACUGCCCAUGGCUCCCUCCCUUCUUUGACGUCAGAGUGAGCAGGGCGGUUUCUGCUGCCUUCGCAUUCCAGCCCCACACACCUCCCUGCAGCCUGGCACUGGAAACUGCUGAGCCAUGCAGGGCAGCCUGGUGGCGGCUAGGACACUUCUGCAGAGGACCUGGAGUUGGGCUGCUCCCGGGGCUCCCAUCUCUUGCUGGGUCUGUUUUCAGGUGCACCCUCCUCCUCCAGGAGGCAGGGGCAAGACCAGCUUCAGCCCUUCUUGCUCUCCAUGGCAGAAGUCCUAGCAGAGUAUGCCCACGCUGGUUAGUGCUGCUGCAAAGAUGAGCCGAAGACCAUGAGAGACCUCCAGGUGGUCCUUCUGGGGAGAAGAAAUGGGUUUUGGCCCCAAAUCCUUCUGCUGCAUUUUUCCCCUAUCCCUGGGAAGCCAUGAGACCUCAAACCUGUGUUCCCAAGGAGGCGAGCUGCUGUUCCCAGGUGAUGAUAUGAUGUGCUUGGGGAAAGUAAGUGGCUGCCAGACAUGGCUGAGAGCUGUUGUCACUGCCGUCAAGUGCAUGUCUCCAAGCCAUAUCACACGGCGUCCCUCGAUGUGAGGCCACAUGGCAAGUGGGCCGUGGAUCUCCCUCUGCCCUUUGCAAGCACGUAAGACAGCAGAUUUUGCAGAUACCUUGUGGCGCAGGGGAAUUUCCUUUGGCCAGGUCUGAAGAAAUAAAGCAGCAGGCACCGAGAACAAAGCCAAGGCUUUCAAAAGACAAGGAGCCAAAAAACUUACUCAAAAUAAAAGUAGUUUUAAAAUGUCUCUGCCAUUGGUAGUCUCAUUUUCUUUUUAAUGUAGGAAAUAGUCAAGUAUUAAAAUGACCAAAAUGAAACAAGUGCCUCAUGGACUGAGAAGGAAGGAGGA
rnacentral:lncRNA from 10 species